UAGGCUUAACUUUUGGGGAGCCGUCAUUCCAUUGAUAUUUUUGUACACUGUUAUGAUACAGGCUGAAAUGAAGCUGAAAUGAACGGGUGGAUAGAUAGAAGAAGUGAUUAAUAUGAAAUAAUGAACACUUCUUAACCAAUCAAAAACAAGUAUUCAUCCAGACCAUGUGAUUCUGUGUUUGUUAUCCUCAGGCUGACGGCUUUUGUGUUGAGAUCUUUUGCCAGAGCUCAGAAUUUUGUCUUCAUUGACCCAAGACACAUCAGACAGUCAACAUCCUGGCUGAAAAAUCAGCAACGGGAAACCGGCUGCUUUGUAAAGUCUGGGAAACUUUUCAACAACAGAAUGAAGGUAAUAUUGUGUUGUUGUUUUUUGUUUUCAUCUUUUAAACUGAACUUUUUGCACUAAUUUAACUGAACUUUGUCCACCACACCUUCACACUCACUUUUUCUUUGUGUGCUAAUAAAUUUUUCAUGUACACAGGUGAAAUGAAUGAAUGAACAAGUGGAGAUGUCUCGUGUUGGAGGGCUGAUAUUUCUAAUUUUUUUUUAUCUUUUUGGAGUGAAAUAAUCCAAUGCAUAGUUAAAGGCAUACCUAAUCUUCUUUAUAUUUCUGAACACCUUUUUUUUUUUACAUAGUAAUAUUCAUUAACAGUAUAAAUUGCUACAUAUCUUGUCAAUUAUGUGUUCGCUAGUGCAGUUAUAAUCUUUGGUUACCAAAUUUUCGUGUGGUGUCAUUGACACUGAUGUUUUGUGAAAAAAACAUCAGAGAUGCUAUGCUACAAGCAGCAAAUACAAACUAUGUAGGCUGGAUCCUCGGUCGCGUUCCUAUGCUCACCUGUUUUGUUGGGAACCCUUCUGCAUCAUCAGCAGGUAUCUCAGGGUUGCAGAUUUUUCACCCCUUAACCAGUGCACCUUGCCUGAGUGGGGCUGCGGAGGCUGGUUAGCCAUUGCCUGCAGAAGGGUUCCAACUUUGGGCCCUCUUCGGCCACAACCAUCUCGAGCUGGAUUCUGCCAUUGUGGCUAUGUCCCUGGUGACUUUCUUCAGCUGUUUGGGCUCCAAACCAAUUCUCUGGAGGAAGUAGCACACCUAUUUUGCUGGGAACCCACGGCAGCCGACCUCAAUGGGGAAAAUGGUUUCAUGCCACCCUUUUUAGAGCUGCCUUAUCAAUCAGGUCUUGGUACUUGGCUUUUUUCAGAUGGUGGGAUGUGGCUAGCCUCUCCUCCCAGGGCAAGGGUAAGUUCUGCCACUAUGAUGGUUUUAGUGCUCUUGGAUAGGAGGACCAGAUCUUGUAGGAGGGAUGUUGCCACUACAUCUUGAGGGAAGAUGAGUUUCCUCUUCAGGUCCAUGUUCAACUCCCAGCCAGAGGCUUUCUGCAGGAUGAAAGGUAGGUUUUUAGCUGUUGUUCUGCUCUUAGGGGCCUUGCCACCCUCCCUCAGGAAUCCUAUGGCAUUGGGUGGUUGGGUGUGGUUGUUGUUCGCCUUAGUCCUCUGCUGCUACGUUCACUUGGCAAUCUCCAUGAGGACCUUGUCAUGCCUCCACCUGUAGCGUCCCUCUGCUAAUGCUUUAGGACAACCAGUCAGAUUGUGAUUCAGUGUGCAGUAGGCCGCUCCAAACUGUUUGCAAGAUGGAUCUUCCUCUGCACCCCAAAUCUUUAGGUUGCUUGGGGUUGGCAGCAGAUCAGCCACUGCUUGUAGGAGGAAAGACAAUUCCCCUGGUCAGUUUGCCAUAGGUCCUUCCAGGACAGUGGUUGCUCCAGUGCCUGGUCCUACUGUGUCCACCUACCUUAGGAAGCUAGCCCUAUUACUAGUGCUCUUUUGGCUCUGGCGUUGGCUUUGCUCUACCUCUUUCUGCUAUAGUUUCCAAGACCUAAGCGGCCUUGACAUACCAUGCCGACAAUCUCCUGAUGUCACUGUCUGCUGAGGCCUCCACUACCUGCCGCACUUGAUGUUCUUACUUGCAUGCCUCACUUUCCCAUCUUCAGAUAAGCAGAGUGUACUGACUGCCCUCGACUUGGCAG